rnacentral:rRNA from 1 species
UACAGAGGGUGCGAGCGUUGUUCGGAAUUAUUGGGCGUAAAGCGCUUGUAGGCGGCUUGUUAAGUUCCGUGUGAAAGCCCCGGGCUCAACCUGGGAAUUGCAUUCGAGACUGAAUAGCUAGGGUACGGUAGAGGGAAGUGGAAUUUCCGGUGUAGCGGUGAAAUGCGUAGAUAUCGGAAGGAACAUCAGUGGCGAAAGCGACUUCCUGGACCAGUACCGACGUUCAGGCACGAAAGCGUGGGGAGCAAACAGG